rnacentral:lncRNA from 1 species
AGAAACUGUAUUGGGAGAACAUGUAUGACGGUGAAGUUCAAGGGGCUGGAGAGCAUGAAUAAUUCAGUAUCCUGGGGAAGGGGGUAGUGGGUAGAGAGGGAGCUGAAAAGGCAACACGGGACAAUUCAUAAAAGGACUUAUGAGCUAAUACUCCUCAGGAACUACAGCAGGAACACACCAGAAAGCCAAGAUAAUCCACAGACCCUUUGAAGGAACUGGAUCACCACGGCAGGCUCCCUGAGAUGCCAAAAAA